ensembl:snoRNA
UGCCCCCCUUUCACUUUGCCAAUUGGACUUAUGUCUUUAUUGGUCAUUUAAGUAGGGCCAAGCAAAUAUCCUUUUAAAANNN